rnacentral:rRNA from 1 species
UACGUAGGGGGCGAGCGUUGUCCGAAGUUACUGGGCGUAAAGCGCGCGUAGGCGGGGGGUUAAGUGAGAGGUGAAAGGCUGGGGCUCAACCUCAUGCAGUGCCUCUCAUACUGGCCUUCUUGAGGGCGGUAGGGAGAAGUGGAAUGGCUGGUGUAGCGGUGAAAUGCGUAGAUAUCAGUCGGAACACCGGUGGCGAAGGCGGGUCUCUGGGCCGUAACUGACGCUGAGGAGCGAAAGCGUGGGGAGCGAACAGG